AUUGAACGCUGGCGGCAUGCUUUACACAUGCAAGUCGAACGGCAGCACGGGAGUAAUCCUGGUGGCGAGUGGCGAACGGGUGAGUAAUAUAUCGGAACAUGUCCGGAAGUGGGGGAUAACGUAGCGAAAGUUACGCUAAUACCGCAUAUGCCCUGAGGGGGAAAGGAGGGGAUCGUAAGACCUUUCGCUUUCGGAGUGGCCGAUAUCAGAUUAGCUAGUUGGUGAGGUAAAGGCUCACCAAGGCGACGAUCUGUAGCGGGUCUGAGAGGAUGAUCCGCCACACUGGAACUGAGA
rnacentral:rRNA from 1 species